rnacentral:rRNA from 1 species
CCCGCAAGGGGGGAAGCGGCGGACGGGGCAGGAGUGCGCGGGCGACCUAUCCGGGGGUCGGGCAUAGCCCGUCGAGAGACGGGGUAAUUCCCGAUGACGUCGCAAGACCAAAGGUCCGCCGCCCCCGGCGGGGCCCGCGCGGUAUUAGCUGGUUGGUGGGGUGACGGCCCACCAAGGCGUAGAUGCCUGGCGGGUGUGAGAGCACGACCCGCGCCACUGGCACUGAGACACUGGCCAGACACCUACGGGUGGCUGCAGUCGAGGAUCUUCGGCAAUGCGCGAAAGCGCGACCGAGCGACGCCGCGUGCGCGACGAAGGCCUUCGGGUUGUAAAGCGCUGUCGGGGGGGAGAAAGCCGCAAGGUUGAUCUAUCCCCGGAGGAAGCACGGGCUAAGUUCGUGCCAGCAGCCGCGGUAAGACGAACCGUGCGAACGUUG